AAUACCCUGCUAUGUGCGUGGUUGCUUUGAAGUUUUGAUCCAACAAGAUCAAAAGGGAGCCCGGCUCUGAUUGUGGCUUGUACGCCUAAUUUAGGACACAACAGGCAGUCAGGAGGACACCCACCUAGUUAGACUGGGUUCAGAAAACUUGGGUAAUCACGGCAUUGGUGGGGUUACU
rnacentral:other from 2 species